rnacentral:rRNA from 1 species
GACGAACGCUGGCGGCGUGCUUAACACAUGCAAGUCGAACGAAGUGGCGAACGGGUGAGUAAUACGUGGGUAACCUGCCCUCCUUUUUGGGAUAAGCGUUGGAAACGGGGUCUAAUACCGAAUAAAGGGGGAUGGGCUCGCGGCCUGUCAGGUUGUUGGUGGGGUGAUGGCCUACCAAGGCGGUGACGGGUAGCCGGACUGAGAGGGAGACCGGCCACAUUGGGAGUGAGAUACGGCACAGACUCCUACGGGGGGGAGCGGUGGGGGAUGGGGCACAAUGGGCGAAAGCCUGAUGCAGCGACGCCGCGUGGGGGUUGAGGUCUUUCGGGUUGUAAACCUCGUUCGCUAGCGAACGGGUACGUGGAGAAAAAGCGCCGGCUAACUACGUGCAAGCAGCCGCGUAAUUC